UAGUUUAAUUGGAUAGAUUG
rnacentral:snRNA from 1 species